rnacentral:rRNA from 1 species
UACAGAGGGUGCAAGCGUUGUUCGGAAUCAUUGGGCGUAAAGGGCGUGUAGGCGGUUUGUUAAGUCAUGUGUGAAAUCCCUCGGCUCAACCGGGGAACUGCGUGUGAUACUGGCGGGCUUGAAUUCGGGAGAGGGAUGUGGAAUUCCAGGUGUAGCGGUGAAAUGCGUAGAUAUCUGGAGGAACACCGGUGGCGAAGGCGGCAUCCUGGACCAAUACUGACGCUGAGGAGCGAAAGCCAGGGGAGCAAACGGG